GAUGAACGCUGGCGGCGUGCCUAAUACAUGCAAGUCGAGCGAACAGACGAGGAGCUUGCUCCUCUGACGUUAGCGGCGGACGGGUGAGUAACACGUGGAUAACCUACCUAUAAGACUGGGAUAACUUCGGGAAACCGGAGCUAAUACCGGAUAAUAUAUUGAACCGCAUGGUUCAAUAGUGAAAGACGGUUUUGCUGUCACUUAUAGAUGGAUCCGCGCCGCAUUAGCUAGUUGGUAAGGUAACGGCUUACCAAGGCAACGAUGCGUAGCCGACCUGAGAGGGUGAUCGGCCACACUGGAACUGAGACACGGUCCAGACUCUUACGGGAGGCAGCAGUAGGGAAUCUUCCGCAAUGGGCGAAGGCUUGACGGAGCAACGCCGCGUGAGUGAUGAAGGUCUUCGGAUCGUAAAACUCUGUUAUUAGGGAAGAACAAAUGUGUAAGUAACUAUGCACGUCUUGACGGUACCUAAUCAGAAAGCCACGGCUAACUACGUG
rnacentral:rRNA from 1 species